rnacentral:rRNA from 1 species
UACGGGGGGUGCGAGCGUUGUCCGGAAUCACUGGGCGUAAAGGGCGCGUAGGUGGUUUGAUAAGGGUGUGGUGAAAGUCCGGGGCUCAACCCCGGAUCUGCCGUGCCGACUGUCAAACUCGAGGGCUGUAGAGGCAGACGGAAUUCCGGGUGUAGCGGUGGAAUGCGUAGAGAUCCGGAGGAAGACCAGUGGCGAAGGCGAGUCCCUGGAAAACACCUGACACUGAGGCACGAAAGCUAGGGGAGCAAACAGG